rnacentral:RNase_P_RNA from 2 species
UUUGGAGACAGGAUGAUUGCUCCGGUGUUACACCGGAGAGGAAAGUCCAGACAGCUGAAAGCAGGGUGGUCCGGUGUCACACCGGACGCGGGUAACCCCGGGGUGAAACCCGGGAUCAACCGCCAGUUAGAGCAACAGAGACGAGCCCCGGUGUCACACCGGGGGUGAAACGGGCAAUCCUCCCCGCUGCAACCCAAAUUCAGACCGUUAUCAGGAUGCUUUCCCGAGGCCUGAGGUUGGGGCGUGAGAUAGAUAAUCAUCUAGAACAGAAUCUGGCUUACUCGUCUCCAAACUCG